GAUGAACGCUGGCGGCGUGCCUAACACAUGCAAGUCGAGCGGGAUUCAUGAGGACGAAACUUCGGUCUAGAAAUCAUGAUGAGAGCGGCGGACGGGUGAGUAACGCGUAGGCAACCUGCCCUUAGCACAGGGAUAGCCUCGGGAAACCGGGAUUAAAACCUGAUAAUGCCAAACAGUCACAUGGCUGUUUGGCCAAAGAUUUAUCGGAUGAGGAUGGGCCUGCGUCUGAUUAGUUAGUUGGUGGGGUAACGGCCUAACAAGACGACGAUCAGUAGCCGACCUGAGAGGGUGAUCGGCCACAUUGGAACUGAGACGCGGUCCAAACUCCUACGGGAGGCAGCAGUGGGGAAUAUUGCACAAUGGGCGAAAGCCUGAUGCAGCAACGCCGCGUGAGCGAUGAAGGCCUUUAGGUCGUAAAGCUCUGUCCUAGGGGACGAACACAAUGACGGUACCCUUGGAGGAAGCCCCGGCUAACUACGUGCCAGCCGCCGCAGUAAUAC
rnacentral:rRNA from 1 species